rnacentral:rRNA from 1 species
UACAGAGGGUGCGAGCGUUGUUCGGAAUUAUUGGGCGUAAAGCGCGUGUAGGCGGCCAACUAAGUCAUACGUGAAAUCCCUCAGCUUAACUGGGGAACUGCGUGUGAUACUGGAUGGCUUGGAUUUGGGAGAGGGAUGCGGAAUUCCAGGUGUAGCGGUGAAAUGCGUAGAUAUCUGGAGGAACACCGGUGGCGAAGGCGGCAUCCUGGACCAAUAUUGACGCUGAGGAGCGAAAGCCAGGGGAGCAAACGGG